GAUGAAGAACGUAGCGAAAUGCGAUAAGUAAUGUGAAUUGCAGAAUUCAGUGAAUCAUCGAAUCUUUGAACGCACAUUGCGCCCCUUGGUAUUCCGAGGGGCAUGCCUGUUCGAGCGUCAUUAUAACCCCUCAAGCUCAGCUUGGUGUUGGGGCCUGCUGCACUGGCAGCCCUUAAAAUCAGUGGCGGCGCCAUCUGGCUCUAAGCGUAGUAAUUUCUCUCGCUAUAGAGUCCCGGUGGAUGCUUGCCAGCAACCCCCAACUUUCUAUGGUUGACCUCGGAUCAGGUAGGGAUACCCGCUGAACUUAAGCAUAUCAAUAAGCGGAGGA
rnacentral:misc_RNA from 1 species